AUGUGCUGCGUCUACUCCCCCGCCACCGUCUCCACGACCUCGUCGCAGCGAGGUCAGAUCGUGUCGUCGGAUCGCUCGCCCUCCUACGCCGCCGACGCCCCGCUGCGCUCCGAUGAGGGAUUCGACGGCAGCGCGGCCAAUCCCUCCCGCGCGAGGCGCGGGCGCGGCGGCGGAGAUGGCGAGCCCCCGCCGCUUUCCCCGGCCCCGAGCGUGAACGCUGACGGGAAAUUCGACGGCAGGGCGGCCAAACGCCGUCGCGCGGAGUCCGGCGGCGGUGUCGGCGUUGACGACGCGGCGGCUCAGGACCACGGGGACCGCAUCGGCGAACUCCCGGACGCGAUCCUGCUGUGCAUCCUCUCCUACCUCCCGCUCCGCGACGCCGCCCGUUCGACGGCGCUCUCUUCGCGGUGGCGGCGCCUGUUUGAUCAGUACCUCCUGGACUUCAACGCGUGCCAGCCGUUCCCGCCGGAGGCGGGCCGCGGCUGCGACUGGUUCAUCCGCGCCGUCGAAUCCAUCCUCGCCUCGCGCCGCCACAUCCCCAUCCGCAGCUUCCGCUUCGUGAUGUACGGGCAGGGAUUCGUCAAUCGCAUGGGCGUCGUCAGCGGCUGGUUCCCCGUCCUCGCGACCUGCGGUGUCCGAGAAGUCGACGUCGACAUGUUGUACACAGUCUAUAGGCCGACCCUCCCCGCGUCGCUCCUCCAGCUCGCCUCCCUCGAAACCCUAAGAGUGUGCUUCUGCGAUCUUCCGAAGGAAGCGGAGGUGGACGCGCUGCGGCUCCCCGCCCUCAAGACGCUCCGCCUGUCCAAUGUCCGAACCUCCCAGGACGCCCUGCAGGCGAUGCUUGCUCAUUGCCCGUCCCUGGAGUGCGCAAAGCUCAAGAACAUCACCGGGGUCAAGCAAAUCCGCCUCCGGUCCAAGAGCCUGGUGCGGCUGUACGGCGACUUGGGCGACUUGAGUGAGCUCGUUGUCGAGGAUGCCCCGAGCCUUGAAGAACUGGUGGGCAUCCAUUUGCCGAGCGGCAGAGCAACGGUGAAAAUUGUUUCCGCCCCCAAGCUGCAGGUGCUGGGAUACUUGGGGAAGAACGUCGGGCCUCUCGUGCUGCGUGAUACCGUUUUCGAUGGAGGCAUCUUGCAGUCCACUACCCUGAUGUGCAGCGUGAAGACCUUGGCCAUCCAAGUGCCCUUCUCAGAGAAGGGACGUACCACCUUCGUUGCUCAGUUGCUCAAAUGCUUCCCAUGCCUUGAGGAGCUCCAUGUCGAGGCAGACAGUCGAUCAAUUUCACAGCGGGUUACUCCUGAAUCAUGGGACACGACAACUUCUAUCCCGUGCAUCGAGCAUUCGCUCAACAAAUUGGUGUUCGAGGAUUUUGGAGGAGAAAUGUGCCAGUGGGGCUUUCUGACUUUUAUGCUUGAGAUGGCUAAAACUCUUGAGGUCGUCGAGCUCUACUGUUUGAAAGGCGAAGACUGUGCCAGUAGACUAAUAAACAUUCUAAGCAGCAUAAAUAGAGUCUGCCAGGACAUGGAGUUCCUCUUCUUCACAAGUUGUGAGCCAGUCAAUGGUCUCUACUUGUGCCAUUGCUGUCCCCGGCGGUGCCAGAAUGAAAACAGAGCUUCGCUGAUGGAUACUCUGAAGCACCAGAAAAAAUAG
rnacentral:rRNA from 1 species